rnacentral:rRNA from 1 species
UUGUUGUAAGUGUGUAAGGGCAUACGGUGGAUGUCUAGGCAUCAGGGGCCGAUGAAGGACGUGGGAGGCUGCGAUAAGCCUCGGGGAGCUGCCAACCUAGCUGUGAUCCGAGGGUGUCCGAAUGGGGAAACCCGGCACCAGUCAUGUGGUGUCACCCGCACCUGAAUAUAUAGGGUGUUGGGGGGGAACGCGGGGAAGUGAAACAUCUCAGUACCCGUAGGAAGAGAAAACAACCGUGAUUCCGUGAGUAGUGGCGAGCGAAAGCGGAAGAGGCUAAACCGUCGUCGUGUGAUACCCGGCAGGGGUUGCGGUGGCGGGGUCGUGGGACCUUUCGGUCAGUUCUGCCGGACUGGCGCAGAGUAAGAAAACCAUGUGUUUAGUUGAACGCCUUGGGAUGGGCGGCCGUAGAGGGUGAGAGCCCCGUAAGCGAAAAACCGUGGUCUCUGGAGAGUGUUCCCAAGUAGCAGCGUACUCGUGAAAUUCGCUGUGAAUCUGGCGGGACCACCCGCUAAGCCUGAAUACUUCCUGAUGACCGAUAGCGGACUAGUACCGUGAGGGAAAGAUGAAAAGUACCCCGGGAGGGGAGUGAAAGAGUACCUGAAACCGUGUGCCUACAAGCCGUCAGAGCCUUGAGGGGUGAUGGCGUGCCUUUUGAAGAAUGAGCCUGCGAGUUAGUGCUGCGUGGCGAGGUUAACCCGUGUGGGGUAGCCGUAGCGAAAGCGAGUCCGAAUAGGGCGGUUGAGUCGCGUGGUCUAGACCCGAAGCGGAGUGAUCUACCCAUGGCCAGGGUGAAGCGACGGUAAGACGUCGUGGAGGCCCGAACCCACCAGGGUUGAAAACCUGGGGGAUGAGCUGUGGGUAGGGGUGAAAGGCCAAUCAAACUCCGUGAUAGCUGGUUCUCCCCGAAAUGCAUUUAGGUGCAGCGUCGCAUGUUUCCUGUCGGGGGUAGAGCACUGGAUGGUCUAGGGGGCCUACAAGCUUACCGAAAUCAACCAAACUCCGAAUACCGAUAGGUGAGAGUGCGGCAGUGAGACUGCGGGCGAUAAGGUUCGUAGUCGAGAGGGAAACAGCCCAGAACACCAGCUAAGGCCCCUAAGUGUGCGCUAAGUGGGAAAGGAUGUGGGGUCGCCCAGACAACCAGGAGGUUGGCUUAGAAGCAGCCACCCUUGAAAGAGUGCGUAAUAGCUCACUGGUCAAGUGGUCCUGCGCCGACAAUGUAGCGGGGCUUAAGCGCACCGCCGAAGCUGUGUCACUCACACAAUACGCCGUCUUCCGGGCUUGACCUGGUUGGCCAGUGGUGUGGGUGGGUAGGGGAGCGUCGUGCAGCCGGGGAAGCGGCGGAGUGAUCCAGUCGUGGAGGCUGUGCGAGUGAGAAUGCAGGCAUGAGUAGCGAUAGGCGAGUGAGAAUCUCGUCCGCCGAAUGACCAAGGGUUCCUGGGCCAGGCUGUUCCGCCCAGGGUAAGUCGGGACCUAAGGCGAGGCCGACAGGCGUAGUCGAUGGACAACGGGUUGAUAUUCCCGUACCCGUGUGGACGCGUCCCUGGUGAGGUCGGUGAUACUAACCGCCCAAAGCCUCGACCUUCUUCGGAGGGGAGGGGUGGAGCGCGGGAUCUGAUCCGGUAGUAGCCAAGCGAUGGGGUGACGCAGGAGGGUAGCUCCGCCAGCUGUUGGUGUCUGGUGUAAGCGUGUGGCCCGAGCGAUAGGCAAAUCCGUCGCUCAUGAGGGUGAGGCGUGAUGCAUAGCCGAUUGAGGCGAAGUAGAGUGAUCCCAUGCUGCCGAGAAAAGCCUCUAGCGAGUGUCCGUGCGGCCCGUACCCCAAACCGACACAGGUGGUCAGGUAGAGAAUACCGAGGCGUUCGGGUGAACUGUGGUCAAGGAACUCGGCAAAAUGCCCCCGUAACUUCGGGAGAAGGGGGGCCGUAGCACUUGAAGCCCUUCGCGGGCUAGGGUGAGGCGGCCGCAGAGACCAGCGAGAAGCGACUGUUUACUAAAAACACAGGUCCGUGCGAAGUCGCAAGACGAUGUAUACGGACUGACGCCUGCCCGGUGCUGGAACGUUAAGAGGACGGGUUAGUGCGUAAGCGCGAAGCUCAGAAUUUAAGCGCCAGUAAACGGCGGUGGUAACUAUAACCAUCCUAAGGUAGCGAAAUUCCUUGUCGGGUAAGUUCCGACCUGCACGAAUGGCGUAACGACUUCUCGACUGUCUCGACCACAGGCCCGGCGAAAUUGCACUACGAGUAAAGAUGCUCGUUACGCGCGGCAGGACGGAAAGACCCCGGGACCUUUACUAUAGCUUGGUAUUGGUGCUUGGUUCGGUUUGUGUAGGAUAGGUGGGAGACUGUGAAGCGCUCACGCCAGUGGGUGUGGAGUCAUUGUUGAAAUACCACUCUGAUCGUACUGAGUGUCUAACUUCGGACCGUGAUCCGGUUCAGGGACAGUGCCUGGUGGGUAGUUUAACUGGGGCGGUUGCCUCCCAAAG